rnacentral:rRNA from 1 species
AUGUCAACAUGAGCUAAUUUAGGUUUACAAGACAGUGCUUCACCUUUAAUAGAACAAUUAACUUUUUUUCAUGAUCAUACCCUAUUAAUUUUAAUUAUAAUUACUGUACUUGUAGGCUAUAUUAUAAUUAUAUUAUUUUUUAAUUUAUAUACAAAUCGAUUUUUACUACAUGGCCAAACUAUCGAAAUAAUUUGAACCAUCUUACCAGCAAUUAUUUUAUUAUUUAUUGCCUUUCCUUCCUUACGGCUACUUUACUUACUAGAUGAAAUUAAUGAACCAAUUUUAACUUUAAAAACCAUUGGCCAUCAAUGAUACUGAAGUUAUGAAUAUUCAGAUUUUACAAAUUUAGAAUUUGACGCCUAUAUAGUCCCCACUAAUGAACUUUUAGUUGAAGGAUUUCGACUAUUAGAUGUUGAUAACCAUGUAAUUUUACCCAUAAAUUCCCAAAUCCGAGUUUUAGUUACUGCCGCUGAUGUAAUUCAUUCUUGAACAAUCCCUGCACUCGGCGUAAAAAUUGACGGCACUCCCGGUCGAUUAAACCAAACUAAUUUUAUUAUUAACCGACCGGGCCUAUUCUACGGACAAUGCUCAGAAAUUUGCGGCGCAAAUCACAGCUUUAUACCUAUCGUAAUUGAAAGUGUCCCAACCAAUUUCUUUAUUAAAUGAAUUUCU